rnacentral:rRNA from 1 species
UACGUAGGGGCCUAGCGUUGUCCGGAAUUAUUGGGCGUAAAGAGCUCGUAGGCGGUUCGGCAAGUCGGAUGUGAAAUCUCCACGCUUAACGUGGAGGGGCCAUUCGAAACUGCUGUGACUCGAGUCCGGUAGGGGAGUGUGGAAUUCCCGGUGUAGCGGUGAAAUGCGCAGAUAUCAGGAGGAACACCAAUGGCGAAGGCAGCACUCUGGGACGGUACUGACGCUGAGACGCGAAAGCGUGGGGAGCAAACAGG